rnacentral:rRNA from 1 species
UACAGAGGUCUCAAGCGUUGUUCGGAUUCAUUGGGCGUAAAGGGCGCGUAGGCGGCGAGGUAAGUCGGGUGUGAAAUCUCAGAGCUCAACUCUGAAACUGCACUCGAUACUGCUUUGCUAGAGGACUGGAGAGGAGAUUGGAAUUCACGGUGUAGCAGUGAAAUGCGUAGAGAUCGUGAGGAACACCUAUGGCGAAGGCAGCUCGCUGGGACGUUACUGACGCUGAGACGCGAAAGCGUGGGGAGCAAACAGG